UACGGAGGGGGCUAGCGUUGUUCGGAAUUACUGGGCGUAAAGCGCGCGUAGGCGGACCUGCAAGUCGGGGGGUGAAAGCCCGAGGCUCAACCUCGGAACUGCCUUCGAUACUGCGGGUCUCGAGUCCGGGAGAGGUGAGUGGAAUUCCUAGUGUAGAGGUGAAAUUCGUAGAUAUUAGGAAGAACACCAGUGGCCGAAGGCGGCUCACUGGCCCCGGUACUGACGCUGAGGCGCGAAAGCGUGGGGAGCAAACAGGG
rnacentral:rRNA from 1 species